rnacentral:rRNA from 1 species
GAUGAACGCUGGCGGCGUGCCUAAUACAUGCAAGUCGAGCGAAUGGAUUAAGAGCUUGCUCUUAUGAAGUUAGCGGCGGACGGGUGAGUAACACGUGGGUAACCUGCCCAUAAGACUGGGAUAACUCCGGGAAACCGGGGCUAAUACCGGAUAAUAUUUUGAACUGCAUGGUUCAAAAUUGAAAGGCGGCUUCGGCUGUCACUUAUGGAUGGACCCGCGUCGCAUUAGCUAGUUGGUGAGGUAACGGCUCACCAAGGCAACGAUGCGUAGCCGACCUGAGAGGGUGAUCGGCCACACUGGAACUGAGACACGGCCCAGACUACUACGGGAGGCAGCAGUAGGGAAUCUUCCGCAAUGGACGAAAGUCUGACGGAGCAACGCCGCGUGAGUGAUGAAGGCUUUCGGGUCGUAAAACUCUGUUGUUAGGGAAGAACAAGUGCUAGUUGAAUAAGCUGGCGCCUUGACGGUACCUAACCAGAAAGCCACGGCUAACUACGUGCCAGCCGCCGCAGUAA